rnacentral:lncRNA from 1 species
AGCAGACUGUACACAGACUUUUGUGGCUACACUUUUCUAAAGAGAUGAUACUGUUUUCCAAAGACCUUACUUAGUGUGCGCUCCAGGGUCCCUAGGUUAUUAAGACACACAUCCCUGGAGUUGAAGGAACGGAGGACAGAGACCUCCUCUCACACAUUUGAAAACUGGACGUGUAAAGAAGGCUCACACUGAAUUCUACAAGGCUUCCCAGGAAAAGAAGAAACUGGAACCCAUAGGAACCUGCUGCUGGCUGGGACUCAUCACUGCUCCUUCGCAUGGAAUGCUCCGAGGACAGAAGCCCAGCUGAGAGCUAGUUAUGCCUUCCUAAUUUAUGGUGGGUCACAGAGGGAAUGAGGCUAGCAUUCCUAAGUCUCCCUGUGCCAAGUGACAAGCACUGGCCUCACGUGUGGCAUCUCAAUACUAACCAAUCCCUGUGACACGGGAAGAAAUCUUCAUUUCCAC